rfam:Synechococcus sp. PCC 7002, complete genome.
GCGGAUGUGGUGGAAUUGGUAGACACGCACGCUUGAGGGGCGUGUGGAGCGAUCCUUGCGAGUUCGAGUCUCGCCAUCCGCA